AGUGAACGCUGGCGGCAGGCCUAACACAUGCAAGUCGAACGGCAGCACAGAGGAGCUUGCUCCUUGGGUGGCGAGUGGCGGACGGGUGAGGAAUACAUCGGAAUCUGCCUAUUUGUGGGGGAUAACGUAGGGAAACUUACGCUAAUACCGCAUACGACCUACGGGUGAAAGCGGAGGACCUUCGGGCUUCGCGCAGAUAGAUGAGCCGAUGUCGGAUUAGCUAGUUGGCGGGGUAAAGGCCCACCAAGGCGACGAUCCGUAGCUGGUCUGAGAGAAUGAUCAGCCACACUGGAACUGAGACACGGUCCAGACUCCUACGGGAGGCAGCAGUGGGGAAUAUUGGACAAUGGGCGCAAGCCUGAUCCAGCCAUGUCGCGUGGGUGAAGAAGGCCUUCGGGUUGUAAAGCCCUUUUGUUGGGAAAGAAAAGCAGUCGGUUAAUACCCGAUUGUUCUGACGGUACCCAAAGAAUAAGCACCGGCUAACUUCGUGCCAGCAGCCGCCGCAGUAA
rnacentral:rRNA from 1 species